UACGGGGGGGGCAAGCGUUGUUCGGAAUUACUGGGCGUAAAGGGCUCGUAGGUGGCCAACUAAGUCACACGUGAAAUCCCUCGGCUUAACCGGGGAACUGCGUGUGAUACUGGAUGGCUUGAGUUUGGGAGAGGGAUGCGGAAUUCCAGGUGUAGCGGUGAAAUGCGUAGAUAUCUGGAGGAACACCGGUGGCGAAGGCGGCAUCCUGGACCAAUACUGACGCUGAGGCGCGAAAGCCAGGGGAGCAAGCGGG
rnacentral:rRNA from 1 species